UACGGAGGGUGCAAGCGUUGUCCGGAAUUAUUGGGCGUAAAGGGCGCGUAGGCGGCUUGUGCAGUCGGGCGUGAAAUCCCUGGGCUCAACCUGGGGGCUGCGCUCGAGACGCAUGGGCUUGAGUGGGGGAGAGGGCCGUGGAAUUCCCAGUGUAGAGGUGAAAUUCGUAGAUAUUGGGAAGAACACCGGUGGCGAAGGCGGCGGCCUGGCCCUUGACUGACGCUGAGGCGCGAAAGCGUGGGGAGCAAACAGG
rnacentral:rRNA from 1 species